UGAGUGCGAGCUGCUACGGCAGCGAAGUUGGUGAUGUCAUGCUUCCAAGAAAAGCCCUAUACCCGUUAAGGCAUCAUGGCCUGUACCCGAAACCGACACAGGUGGGGUGGUAGAGAAUACCGAGGGGCGCGAGGUAACUCUCUCUAAGGAACUCGGCAAAAUGGCCCCGUAACUUCGGGAGAAGGGGUGCCACCGCAAGGUGGUCGCAGUGAAGAGGCCCAGGCGACUGUUUACCAAAAACACAGGUCUCCGCUAAGCCGCAAGACGAUGUAUGGGGGCUGACGCCUGCCCAGUGCCGGAAGGUUAAGGAAGCUGGUCAGCGCAAGCGAAGCUAGCGACUGAAGCCCCGGUGAACGGCGGCCGUAACGAUAACGGUCCUAAGGUAGCGAAAUUCCUUGUCGGGUAAGUUCCGACCCGCACGAAAGGCGUAACGAUCUGGCGCUGUCUCGGAGAGAGGCUCGGCGAAAUAGAAUUGUCUGUGAAGAUGCGGACUACGUGCACCCGGACAGAAAGACCCUAUGAAGCUUUACUGUAGCUUGGUAUUGUGCCCGGGCUCGCAAUGCGCAGGAUAGGUGGGAGGCUUUGAUCAUCGGCUUGCGGGUCGAUGUGAGCCAACGGUGAGAUACCACUCUUUGCGAGCUAGGGUUCUAACGGCCACCCGUCAUCCGGGGGCCGGACAGUACCUGGUGGGCAGUUUGACUGGGGCGGUCGCCUCCUAAAAGGUAACGGAGGCGCGCAAAGGUUUGCUCAGGCUGGUUGGAAAUCAGCCGACGAGUGUAAAAGCAGAAGCAAGCUUGACUGUGAGACCAACAAGGCGAACAGGGAGGAAACUCGGCUUUGGUGAUCCGACGGUUCUGAGUGGAAGGGCCGUCGCUCAACGGAUAAAAGUUACUCUAAGGAUAACAGGCUGAUCUCCCCCAAGAGUUCACAUCGACGGGGAGGUUUGGCACCUCGAUGUCGGCUCAUCGCAACCUGGGGCUGAAGUCGGUCCCAAGGGUUGGGCUGUUCGCCCAUUAAAGCGGUACGCGAGCUGUUCAGAACGUCGUGAGACAGUUCGGUCCAUAUCCGGUGCACGCGCAGGAAUAUUGAGAGGAUUUCUCCCUAGUACGAGAGGACCGGGAGGAACGCACCUCUGGUGUACCAGUUAUCGUGCCAACGGUAAACGCUGGGUAGCCAUGUGCGGAGUGGAUAACCGCUGAAAGCAUCUAAGUGGGAAGCCCACCUCAAGAUGAGUAUUCCCAUGGCGUAAGCCAGUAAGGUCACGGGAAGAACACCCGUUGAUAGGCUCUAUGUGGAAGCGCAGUAAUGCGUGAAGCAGAGGAGUACUAAUAGACCGAGGGCUUGACCA
rnacentral:rRNA from 1 species